rnacentral:rRNA from 1 species
UAACCUACCUAUAAGACUGGGAUAACUUCGGGAAACCGGAGCUAAUACCGGAUAAUAUUUCGAACCGCAUGGUUCGAUAGUGAAAGAUGGUUUUGCUAUCACUUAUAGAUGGACCCGCGCCGUAUUAGCUAGUUGGUAAGGUAACGGCUUACCAAGGCGACGAUACGUAGCCGACCUGAGAGGGUGAUCGGCCACACUGGAACUGAGACACGGUCCAGACUCCUACGGGAGGCAGCAGUU